UCCUUCCCCAUUUCAAUGCGCUCUCGUUCUCUGACAUGGGCGGCUGUAUCAUUUUAAUUGGGAGCUUAGACUGAGUGAUGCUUCUGAGGAGGUGCGUUGCUCUUUGCUGUGAGGAAGAAAGGUUGCGAGAGCUCUCCAGCUUAUGCCACCCUCAUUAGUGUCCAGCACCUGAAGACACGAGGUCACAAACCCAACGAACUGCCCCAUUUCAUUCAGCUUUGCCGACAUGGAAAGAUGACCACUGUGACCUAAUG